GACGAACGCUGGCGGCGUGCCUCAAACAUGCAAGUCGAGCGAGGUGAGACCGAACCGCAAGGUGAGGUUGAACCUAGCGGCGAACGGGUGAGUAACACGUGGGUAACCUGCCUGAAAGAUCGGGAUAACGGCUCGAAAGAGUCGCUAAUACCGGAUAAUGUCCUGGUGCUGCAUGGCACCGGGAAGAAAGGGGAAACCCGCUUUCAGAUGGGCCCGCGCCCCAUCAGCUAGUUGGUAAGGUAACGGCUUACCAAGGCGACGACGGGUAGCCGGUCUGAGAGGACGAUCGGCCACACUGGGACUGAGAUACGGCCCAGACUCCUACGGGAGGCAGCAGUUGGGAAUCUUAGGCAAUGGGCGAAAGCCUGACCUAGCGACGCCGCGUGAGGGAAGAAGGCCUUCGGGUCGUAAAACCUCUAGUCAUGGGGACGAAGAAAGUGACGGUACCCAGGAGGAAGCCCUGCUAACUACGUG
rnacentral:rRNA from 1 species